CAGACUAUUUCAGCCGGGACUGAAAAAGACUUGUUCAAGUUUGAGGAAGAUCUAGAUGAUGACAUAUUCCCCAAAAGGUGGAGCCUACCAGUGUUUCGGGAGUCCAGGCACACCUCCCUAGGAAACUUAGGUCCGGAUCCUGUGAGUCCAGAGAAUGCUCUUUUACUUGACACAGAAACAUCCUCAGAGACCAACGGAGUCCAUCCUGGGGCUGGCUCUGCCGUCUCUCCCGACAUCCUGUAUUUAAUGGAAAGUUUGGAUAAGGAAACGGACAUCCUGGAGUUUAACAACGAGCACACUGAAGAACCCCUUAAGGGAACACCGCCGCGCCCCAGGACCUGGUUCUAGCCUAGCUUCCUACUUUAUAUAAAGCUGUGCGCACUGACCCAGGGGGAACAGCCCCCAGGAACUGGCCAGCAUUUAGAGAAAUGAUCCUACUAUACAGGCUACUUCGAACUCCUUAGGGCAUUAUGUUGCUGCAAAGCUCAAACGCAUCCACAUCGUCUAGCACAAAGGGGCUUUCGUGAAAAUUAUACAGCCCAAAGUGGAUUACUGUAACCAAAUGAGGGACAGCAUACAAAUGUAUACACCUACAUCUGAUUAGCUUUGGAGAGAGCCAUAACAGAUCAUAGUCCAAUCCCAUAGAAAGCCCAGAAACAAAGGGCCCUGUUCCUUUUCCGGCUCCUUCCUGUACCGCUCUUUUUUUUUUUUUCCUUUAGCUACAGAGACAAGAAAUAGGCCAUACCAUGCCCAGAGGCCUUUUUCUUAUAGUUGUUCCACUGACUUCCUGACCAUCUCACACCCACCUUCUAUAACUGGUGUUUCUGUAACUCUUAAAUUCCCUCAGCACCAGAAAGUUCCUUUUCUCUUCAAGAACGAUCUCACUGUCUGAUCUUCAUUUUUCUCUCUCCCUCUUUACUUUCUUCCUCCAUUUUUCCUCGUCCCUCCUCCCUCGUCUAGCUCCUCCCAUGACUCUAAUCUGUCCCCCUUUCCAGGUUACAACAUUUUUCUCUUUCCAACUCGGUUGCUCAUUGCUUGUCACAUGUGCAAACUCUGGGAUACUGGGAGGGGAGACUGACACACCCAGCCUUUCAUGCUUCCAGCCCUGCUGUAAGAGGUGUAUGUGGGUUGAUGGUGUGUAUGUGCGCUGACGGUGUCCGCCACUAUCGCAAACACUCCGUUCCUGUUCCUUCACCUUAGAAACCGGAGAAGAAGGAGCUGGGGAUUUAGCUCAGUGGUAGAGCGCUUACCUAGGAAGCGCAAGGCCCUGGGUUCGGUCCCCAGCUCCGGGGAAAAAAA
rnacentral:lncRNA from 1 species